ACUUUUUCGUUUGUAAAUUUUCGUUUAGCCAACCAGUCACCGUUUGUCUUUCGAAUCGAGCGCUAGUAUCAAUUCAUUCGUCUCUGAUACAAAUUUUUAUUCACUAUCGAAUAAAAGAUACAAUUAAUUGAAAUUCGCGAAGAAUAAUAAAAAUAAAAACACCGGCUAGUGAAGAGAGAGAGAGUGUCUUUAUGCAUUUUGUUUAAAUUAUUCGUUUACAAAUACACGAAUGUGUGAUCAAUAUCUGUUUGAUUACAUUUUAUAAUCAUUGAUCAAAUUUGACUAUUGGAUAUUUGUGAUUUUAUUAAAUCAGUGCAGAAAUUUCUCAUCGAUUUGAAGGAUAUUAAUUUGGACUAUUUUGACGCUGGUAUUUCAACACCUUUUUUUUAUAUUUAACGGUAAGUUAAUAUACAUUUUUUUGACCAAACAAAGAAAUUAGGAAAACAAUAUCUUUGUGAUGAAGAAGUUGAAUAACAAUAGAAUAUCAAAAUCUAGGUUGAAAUCAUGUUUAAAAAA